rnacentral:rRNA from 1 species
UGUCUUUUUGAAGUUAAUUUAAAGUCUAAUCUGCCCACUGAUUUAAUAUUAAAGGGCUGCAGUAUUUUGACUGUACAAAGGUAGCAUAAUCAUUAGUCAUUUAAUUGAUGACUUGUAUGAAAGAUUGGAUGAAGUAUAAUCUGUCUCUUAAUUAAUAAGUAGAAUUUAAUUUUUUGAUUAAAAAGUUAAAAUAGUUUAAAAAGACGAGAAGACCCUAUAGAGUUUUAUAAAUAAAGUUAAUUAAUAUUAUUUAUAAAAAUUAAAUUAAAAUUUUUUUAUUUAUUAUAUUGGGGUGAUAGAAAAAUAUAUUUAACUUUUUUUUUUAUUUAAAACAUCUAUAAGUGAUUAAAUGAUCCAAUAUUAUUGAUUAUAAGAAAAAAUUACCUUAGGGAUAACAGCGUAAUUUUUUUUUUUAGUUCGUAUAAGAAAGAGAGUUUGCGACCUCGAUGUUGGAUUAAGAUAAAAUUUAAAUGUAGAAG